UACAGAGGUCCCAAGCGUUGUUCGGAUUCACUGGGCGUAAAGGGUGCGUAGGUGGCCGGGUAAGUCUGACGUGAAAUCUCCAAGCUUAACUUGGAAACUGCGUCGGAUACUAUCGGGCUUGAGGAAUGGAGGGGAGACUGGAAUGCUCGGUGUAGCAGUGAAAUGCGUAGAUAUCGAGCGGAACACCAGUGGCGAAGGCGAGUCUCUGGACAUUUCCUGACACUGAGGCACGAAAGCCAGGGGAGCAAACGGG
rnacentral:rRNA from 1 species